rnacentral:rRNA from 1 species
UACGAAGGGUGCUAGCGUUGUUCGGAAUCACUGGGCGUAAAGCGUGCGUAGGCGGCCAUUCAAGCCAGAGGUGAAAGCCUGGAGCUUAACUCCAGAAUUGCCUUUGGAACUGUAUGGCUAGAGUGUCGGAGGGGAUAGCGGAAUUUCUAAUGUAGCGGUGAAAUGCGUAGAUAUUAGAAGGAACACCGGUGGCGAAGGCGGCUAUCUGGACGACAACUGACGCUGAGGCACGAAAGCGUGGGGAGCAAACAGG